CUAAUGGCAGAGCCACUCAAAAUAAGUUAACAAAUCAGCACUAUUUGGUAGGUAACAUUCGGACUCUAGUUUGCAUGCAUCAAACUCAAUUACACAGGAUUUCUGUCAGAUCUUGCCCAAAGGUAAAACAGGGAAAUAAAUUAACUUGCUAUCUGGCAGGUGAAAUUACUGAAACCUGGACUAGUUUCCUGCUGACAGCAUGCAAAUAGUAAAAAAAAAAAAAUUAAAAAACCUAAGUAAAAUGAGAUUUAGGUGUCUGGUG